rnacentral:misc_RNA from 1 species
GAAAUGCGAUAAGUAGUGUGAAUUGCAGAAUUCAGUGAAUCAUCGAAUCUUUGAACGCACAUUGCGCCCUUUGGUAUUCCUUAGGGCAUGCCUGUUCGAGCGUCAUUUGUAACCUCAAGCUCAGCUUGGUGUUGGGUGUCUGUCCCCGCCCCGCGCGGGGACUCGCCUCAAAAACAUUGGCGGCCGGUACGUUGGCUUCGAGCGCAGCAGAAACGCGAACUCGGGGCCCGACGGAUCGGCGACCAGAAGUCACUUCUUCCACAGCUUGACCUCGGAUCAGGUAGGGAUACCCGCUGAACUUAAGC